rnacentral:rRNA from 1 species
AAGGUAGCGUAAUAAUUUGCCUUAUAAUUGAAGGCUUGUAUGAAUGGUUUGACAAGAAUAUAACUGUCUCUUUGUAAUUAGUUAGAAUUUUAUUUAUGGGUGAAGAAGCCCAUAUUAAAUUGAUAGACGAGAAGACCCUAUUGAGCUUUAAAUAAGUUAGUAAAUUUUAUAUAUUAUAGUAUUAAUAAAAAAUAAGUUAUUAAAAAUUUUGGUUGGGGCGACUGAGGAACAAAUAAAGCUUCCUUUAUUUUUAAAGACAACCAAGUGUUGAUCCAGAAUUUCUGAUUAAAGGAAUUAGUUACCGUAGGGAUAACAGCAUAAUCUUUUUUGAGAGUUCUAAUCGAAAAAAAGGUUUGUGACCUCGAUGUUGGACCAGAAUAUCCCGAAGAUGCAGCUGUCUUCAAAGGUUGGUCUGUUCGACCAUUAAAAUUCUACGUGAUCUGAGUUUAGACCGGCGUGAGCCAGGUCAGUUUCUAUCUUCAAUUUUUAAAGUAACCUUAGUACGAAAGGACCAGUUUAUUGUAAAUUAAUUAUUUGUCUUGAUGAUAUAUAAGAAAAGAUUUAAUUAAUAAAACAUAUUUAUGAUCAGAUUAGCAAAGAUAAUGCGGUUGAUUUAGGAUUAACAGUCAUAGGUGAAAUACCUUUAUUUGAUACAUGAAGAUGGC